rfam:Hordeum vulgare subsp. vulgare, WGS project CAJW01000000 data, contig: morex_contig_1559422
UAAAUACUCCUUUCGUUCUAAAAUUCUUGUCUUAGAUUUAUUUAGAAAUGAAUGCAUCUAAAUAUUAAAAUAUGAUUAGAUACAUUCAUAUUCAGACAAAUCUAAGACAAAAAAAAUUAGCACGAAGGGAGUAUAUG